UUGCUGGAAUUACAGAUAGUUUUGAGUAUCCAGACCUUGGUGCUAAGAACCAGAUUCAGGUACUGAACGUCCCCCAGAUUAUCUCUUGUACAAAAAUGCACCCCAAAAUUUGCAUGUUCUCUUAUAACUUUAAAAUCCAAAAAUUUAUAACUUUUUGAUUCCAAACUUUAAGCAGAGAUUACUGUCUAGUGAUUUUUUUUAAAAACGUUUUUUAUUUUUUAUUUAUUUAUUAUAUAUAAGUACACUUGCUGUCUUCAGGCACUGCAGAAGGGGGCGUCAGAUCACAUUAUGCAUGGUUGCUGCGAUUUGAACUCUGGACCUUUGGAAGAGCAGUCAGUGCUCCCCACCACUGAGCCAUCUCUCCAGGCCCCCUGUCUAGUGAUUCUUAAAAGUGAUUCUGACAUACUUUUGGAAAUUCAGUUUUUAAUCAGUCAUUUGUUUGGAUAUGUCUUAAAAGGAGGUUUUGUUUUAAAUUGUACUCUUUUAAGGAAGUUCCUGGAGUUUUCACAGUUUAUAUUUUGUCACUGGGAAAAAUCUUUGUAUUUAAAAUGUAGUGAGCAAAAAUGAAUAGCAUUAGAUAUGAUUGUUAAACCUUUAGAAACUAACAUGCCACUUGGUAGAAAUAUAAUUGGUGAGCUGGAGCAAAGGUCUGUAGUCAAACAGUAAGAUUAAUGAGUAUCUUUUCUUUUUGCCUUUUUUUUCUCUUCUCUUUCCCUUCUGUUGGCUUUUCAAGUUGCACUUAGCUGAGGGUGUUUGAAAUGAUUUUCUUUGAAAGCGUUUUGACAUUGUUUUAAUUGAAUGAAGCUGCAGAACUGACAUGAUAGAUCAAUACAGAAUGAGUUUUAAUGUAAGGCAUAGCACAUUAACCUGGAAAUUGUUUGCAAUAGACAAAGCAGCUGCUAUAAUGCAGUUUUUUUCAUUCCUGCUUAAAACAUUUUGAGAAGAAUGACCUUGACAAUUCCAGUUGUGUUAUAGUACCUAUGGUAUGCACUUCAGCACACCUCAACUAUUUGUUGGCUCAUAGGUACAGUAGUAGUUCGUUUUUUUAGGGUUAAGGGAAUUUUAUCUGUCAUGGACUCUUAUUUGUAUUAUCUGCUUUAAAAAUAAUUUUAAUGUAAGUAAUAGUUGUAAGAAUUGAAUUUUUUCACUAUAGUCUUAUGGCUAUAGUUAAAGCAAAAGAUACUUAUUAUGUCAAAAGAGUAGGAUAUGCCUUUUUUCCGUGGACACAUGGUAGGGUAGACUAACUGGCUUGAUAAAUGAUGUGGGUAAAGCUUCUUUAAUUGUUAAUCAACUUGCUAAAAUGUUUUCAUAGGGGCUGGGAAGAUGGCUAAAUAGGUAAAACGCUUGUUGUACAAGUAUAAGGACCUAAGUUUGAACUCCCGGAACCAAGUACAGUUGUAGCAAAACCUCCUAUCUUAGGGAGGUAGGAGGCAGAGACAGCGUCCUUUGACACUCAGAGGACAAGUCUCCUGGUAUACAGAGUUUCAAACAGCAAAGAUACCCUGUCUUAGUUUGGAAGAUAACUGACACACAAAGUUGUCUUCUGACUUUUAUAUUUGACACUUUUAUGCACACAUAUGAUGUGCCUGUACAUAAACACCUUCCCCCUACAAAUGCACUCAGCUAGACAGGUAAAACAGGUUUCUGUUCAGCAUGCAUUCUCAGACGGUUUUCCUGUGUUUGAUAUGUAAUUUUUUUAAAAAAUAAGAACUUUUAAAGAACUUGCAAAUUAAAAAAUGCAUAUUCGAAUUUAGCCAGCACCAAAGUGUAUAUCUCAGUAAACUUAUAUACAGUUAGAAUACCCAUUUUGAAUCCAUGGAGCACUUUCACAUGAUUGGGUCAAAGAUCUGGUUAGUGUGCAGCUGUUAUUGAGGAAUAUCUGGCAGAACUGCUGUUUUUCAGAAGGGCGUUUGCAGACUUUUGAGCAAGGAAAACUUGGCUCUCUUUCUUAGACUACUCACAUCUGUUAAGUUACUUGUUAGCAACUCUUGAAUACAUGAUUUGUGUUCAGUUUGAAAUUGUAAGGCCAUUCCCUGUUUCAUUGAAGCAUACCACAACUAAACAAAGUACGUGAUGGAAUAAGAAGGUGACGGUCUCUGUCCAGGUUGUUUUAGAGGAAUAGGUAUGGAGUAUAUAGUAUAUAUGAAAAUGAGGAACUUACAGGUGAGCAGGAAGGGCUUUCUGGGGAUGAACUUGGGGCCACCUAUGAUUGAUUUCUUGUGAUGCAUCUUCUCUUUCUACCACUACUCAGCUAAUUCUGAAUCUACUCAGAUAAAGGACAGCGUUUAAAAAGUUAUACAGAGCCACAGGCAUUUAAUGCCUACUGAGAGGGAAGAGAAUCACUCUUUCCCAGAUAUGUUCCUUUUAAUUAGCUACCCAAUACCAAUAUUAAGGGGUCAACCCUGAAAAAGUACAUGUGAGCACUAAAUGGACCCAGCACAGAGAGCCAGGGGUUGGGGGGCCAGGAAGCCAUGAAUUUGAGAGUGGGGGCACACAGGAGUUGGGGUGAUGAUGUUCUUGUGAAUUUAAAGGAUUUAAAAGUUACAGUGGAUUUUAAAGGAUGCAGCUUCAAGGAAAGUGAGCAGGUAUGUAACUUCCAUGCUAAUAUGAAAAAGAAAAUAAAUGUAUAUCCUGGUAUGUUAGUUUUCCCUUGCCAUGAUAAAGGGAGGCUAGGU
rnacentral:lncRNA from 1 species